UGAGGAAUAUUGGUCAAUGGGCGGGAGCCUGAACCAGCCAAGUCGCGUGAGGGAAGACGGUCUUACGGAUUGUAAACCUCUUUUGCCGGGGAGCAAAGGGCGCCACGCGUGGCGUUUCGAGAGUACCCGGAGAAAAGCAUCGGCUAACUCCGUGCCAGCAGCCGCGGUAAUACGGAGGAUGCGGGCGUUAUCCGGAUUUAUUGGGUUUAAAGGGUGCGUAGGCGGGCCGGUAAGUCAGCGGUAAAAUAGCGGGGCUCAACCCCGUCGAGCCGUUGAAACUGCCGGUCUUGAGUGGGCGAGAAGUGCGCGGAAUGCGUGGUGUAGCGGUGAAAUGCAUAGAUAUCACGCAGAACCCCGAUUGCGAAGGCAGCGCACCGGCGCCCGACUGACGCUGAAGCACGAAAGGCGUGGGGAAUCGAACAGGAUUAGAUACC
rnacentral:rRNA from 1 species